rnacentral:rRNA from 1 species
UACGUAGGGGGCAAGCGUUGUCCGGAUUUCUUGGGCGUAAAGAGCGUGUAGGCGGCUAGGUAGGUCCGUUGUGAAAACUCGAGGCUCAACCUCGAGACGUCGAUGGAAACCAUCUAGCUAGAGUCCGGAAGAGGAGAGUGGAAGUCCUGGUGUAGCGGUGAAAUGCGCAGAUAUCAGGAAGAACACCCGUGGCGAAGGCGGCUCUCUGGUACGUGACUGACGCUGAGACGCGAAAGCGUGGGGAGCAAACAGG